rnacentral:rRNA from 1 species
CAGUAGGGAAUCUUCCACAAUGGACGAAAGUCUGAUGGAGCAACGCCGCGUGAGUGAAGAAGGGUUUCGGCUCGUAAAACUCUGUUGUUAAAGAAGAACAUAUCUGAGAGUAACUGUUCAGGUAUUGACGGUAUUUAACCAGAAAGCCACGGCUAACUACGUGCCAGCAGCCGCGGUAAUACGUAGGUGGCAAGCGUUGUCCGGAUUUAUUGGGCGUAAAGCGAGCGCAGGCGGUUUUUUAAGUCUGAUGUGAAAGCCUUCGGCUCAACCGAAGAAGUGCAUCGGAAACUGGGAAACUUGAGUGCAGAAGAGGACAGUGGAACUCCAUGUGUAGCGGUGAAAUGCGUAGAUAUAUGGAAGAACACCAGUGGCGAAGGCGGCUGUCUGGUCUGUAACUGACGCUGAGGCUCGAAAGUAUGGGUAGCAAACAGGAUUAGAUACCCUGGUAGUCCAUACCGUAAACGAUGAAUGCUAAGUGUUGGAGGGUUUCCGCCCUUCAGUGCUGCAGCUAACGCAUUAAGCAUUCCGCCUGGGGAGUACGGCCGCAAGGCUGAAACUCAAAGGAAUUGACGGGGGCCCGCACAAGCGGUGGAGCAUGUGGUUUAAUUCGAAGCUACGCGAAGAACCUUACCAGGUCUUGACAUACUAUGCAAAUCUAAGAGAUUAGACGUUCCCUUCGGGGACAUGGAUACAGGUGGUGCAUGGUUGUCGUCAGCUCGUGUCGUGAGAUGUUGGGUUAAGUCCCGCAACGAGCGCAACCCUUAUUAUCAGUUGCCAGCAUUAAGUUGGGCACUCUGGUGAGACUGCCGGUGACAAACCGGAGGAAGGUGGGGAUGACGUCAAAUCAUCAUGCCCCUUAUGACCUGGGCUACACACGUGCUACAAUGGAUGGUACAACGAGUUGCGAACUCGCGAGAGUAAGCUAAUCUCUUAAAGCCAUUCUCAGUUCGGAUUGUAGGCUGCAACUCGCCUACAUGAAGUCGGAAUCGCUAGUAAUCGCGGAUCAGCAUGCCGCGGUGAAUACGUUCCCGGGCCUUGUACACACCGCCCGUCACACCAUGAGAGUUUGUAACACCCAAAGUCGGUGGGGUAACCUUUUAGGAACCAGCCGCCUAAGGUGGGACAGAUGAUUAGGGUGAAGUCGUAACAAGGUAGCCGUAGGAGAACCUGCGGCUGGAUCCCCUUCCUU